GCCGGCGUCGCCGAUUGGACAAUUAGCGACGUGCCAGCAUUUUUUUUUCUUUUUCUUUGCGUCCCCUUUCUGUCCAUUGUCUCGCUGCGUCCGAGAGGCGCGUCCCAGGACCCACGAUUCAGCGAUGGUUUCGCGAGGGCAAGAGCCACCGAGGCACACAAUUGACCCCCGUAAGGGUUUGCUUAUGUGACUGACCGCGCAGAAGCCGAUCCGGGGUGCUCCCGCCCGCGAAGCCGUGUGACGUCGAUUGGUCUCUGCCAAUCGCGAGCCCGCUACCCCCUCCACGGGCGCACCGCCGCGUGCCCGUACCUGUGGUCAUUCAGGUGAGAACCGUGCCAGGGAGCGGAUGUGUUUCGUAGUACUCUCCCGCAGUCAACGGACUGGCCGUUGCACGCAAUCCGCAGUUUUUCCCGGUCACUUCCCGACUCUCGUAUUGUACACAGCAAACUUUGUGGCGUCUAUUCCUGACGUUUACUGUCGGUUGCGUUGUUUCUCCUAUGUAGCAAAGUUUUAUAUGGCGCGUGUAGGAUGUGGCCAACAGUAAGUGGCCUAAACGACAAAUCGGUCAUCGGCUCCCGGGACUCCUUCUUUCGUGAAGGGCUUCGUGUCGUGGAAGAGUUUCGCAGAAAUUCACCUGCCUUUGCUGACAUUAUUAGAGGACACGCUGGGCUCGGAUGGAAGCGGCCAGUGAGCCUCGCGUUUCUGGUUAUCGCGCCUUGUUCUUUCUUUCCUUAAUAGCUGCAGAUAAGAGCACAGUAAAGGCGCAAAGGUCACAUCCAUAAAGCGGCCCGUUAAGAAGUGGGUUUCUGCAGCAAUGACGCAGACGCGUGCCUGCGCUGCCAGGCGGAGAGCAAGCAGGACAGCCGUCAGGGGCGCGCGGGCCAGCAGGACUGCGUGGUGGUGUGGG